AGUACAAAAUGAUUUUGCUGUUCACACUGUACGGGAUAUUCCGUUGAAAAGCGAAAUUGUACAUAGUAGGCUAGUCUAGAUGUGCAUUUUUAUAAACUUAAGUGCUUUAGACUUGACGGUUGACGCGCCAUUUCAAAACGCGGCUCAAUGUCACGAGACGCCGAACUGCAACAGCGACGCCAAACAGGGAUACGUGAGACGUUUUGGCAAGGCUGGAGGACUUGAAGAAGCGCAAGGCUGCUGCGCAGAAGGGGAUGCUCGCCGAGCUACUGCCACGGUCACUUCAGCCAGGGCGACAGUCAAGGAACUUGUCAAAGCAGCAGUUUGAAAAGGUGUUUGAUAUGCUGAAAUACAGUGCUUCUAGAAGUGAUGAGGAGCUACCUUAUGAUUCUGUUGGAUUCAUCUGGGUCUUGGUCUUGGAAAUCUCCAAGCUCACCAUGUCCAGCUUCCAAAAGAGCAGCGGAGUCUACCACCAGAGACUCUUCCAUGUCAU